UUAUGAGGAAAUCCAGGUGGAAGUAUAAACAUCCUGGUGCUCACGCUGUGGCCUCUGUUUUGUGUCAGACAAGCAUAUACACAUAUUUUUGGGCUUUGUUACUCCAAGGAAAACAGUGACGGUAUUGAGGUUUCAAUAACUGGGGAACAAGAGAGACAUUCAAGCUUUUUAUUUAUUUAUUUAUUUUACAAAGGAGAAGGCAAACUUCAGUUAAAAUCCCAGCUCAGUGUUUAUCAGGAUGAAUAAAUAAAAAAUAAAAAUAAAUAGACUAUUAAAUACAGCAUAAAACAACAAGAAACAAGAAGGAAAGUUUGCCAUUUGAUUAGGGAGCUCUUUGAAUCGCAUUCUUUUCAAGAAAAGCAGCAGGAGAGUAAUGUGAGAUAAAAAAGAAAAAUACAGAUUUUUAUUAAAACAAAGUCCCUUUUCAUUUUAGCAAACAUCAGGUCUGUGAGCUACAACAGAAUAAAGGAGGCGACACAGUGAAGAUUCAAGUGAAGGAAGGUGAACAUCAGUAACAGUGAUUGGCAGUCAUUACUGAAGAGAGAAAGCAGAAAGGCCAAAUCUGCAGCGUAAAUCCUCCUGAAACAGUGGUUCCUGAGUGACUUCAGGCACAUGGUUGACUUCCAUUUGUGCUUUUUUUAGUCUUUUUUUUUAUUUCCCAAAUUGUGAGCCUUAAAUAAGAAGAAAAAAACUUGUUUAGAACAAAAUUCUUUCAUGGAAGAGGCUCCUGAGUUCACAAACAAAAUUAUAUCAACUGUCAGUAACACAGUUGUUUUUAACAAUUCAACACAGAUUUUUUUUCGUUGUUGUCAUUUGAAAAUGAGGUACAUACUACACUGCUAUCCUAGCAUUGCCAUUGUAGUGCAUACUUGUUUGUUCCGUUGUAUUCUGGAAAAACGGAAGACAAAAAAGCAGUCUUCUUUUUACUUUAUUCUGGGGAACAUUUUUGGUUUUUGAACCACUGUUUGGGAAACACAGUUGUAAGAGCCAUUUAAAGAAAAGAAAAAGACACCAACUGCUGCUCAAAAAAACAAGCAUUAAUUAAAUGCUUUCAAUUCUUAUAACUGUCAAAGCAUGUACUGGAGUUCAUUUACAGUUGAGUUCAAUCUGCUCACAACAGAAACAACAAAGUUACAAGUAUAUGUACUGAGAAGGUCCUUCCAAACUAACUGGGUCAUUGAAAUUCCAAACCAGGCUGUAAUUAAGUAUGAAAUCACUUUUACCACAGUGAUUUUCACCACCUCCCUCUUCAUCACUGGCCUGUUGCUAACAGAUUAACUGCCCUCCCAGCCAGCAUGUCCAUGUCCACCUCAAACUGUUGUUACUUUGACACCUUCCAUUUAGCUUAACUCACUUGUGGUCACUGUUACUCUUGCAAAUCAGAGACAAACCAAGAUUUGAUCCAAGUGCUACAUAGUAAAAUGUCACUGUUUUAAACAAAGCAGAGAAUGAAAAAAAUUCAAAAUAAAAAAAUUUACACAAAAGUACCUCAUAUAUAGGUGUUUGUUUUUUAGCUUAGUGUUAAACGUUGCGCCAACAGAAGGCCGAGACCCUGGGUCACUCUUAGGUUCUUACACACCUAAGCAACAGCGUCCCUACAGCUCCACCUCCAGGCCACUUCAAGCUCAUUUUGGCUGUCAUCUUGGUGCUGCGUCCUCAUUGGUCCUGCGUCCUCAUUGGUCCAGCAGCGAAGGGACCAAAGUGCCAAUUUAAGGGAGACGCCAUGACAUCAGCGACCACAGGCAGAUUCUAGCCUGGACUCCACUGCACACAGACUAACUAACACAACUUACUCCACUUCCCUUGUUUGUUUGACUGUGGAGAGAAGAAGAACAGGCUGCAGCACCGGUGCUGCUCCCUGAUCCAGACUAAUUGUCCAUUUUUAUGGAGCUGGAAUCUAAGAUAAAGGAACAACAUGACCAUAAAUGCAUGAGAAACUGUACAGAGAUGUGUAAUAAAAAUAGAUAUCUAAAAUUACAGUCUAAUCGAGUCAUUUACUGCUGAGCAUUUUCUCCAUUCCCAUGUG